GCACUGCUGACGAGUCCCAAGCAGAACGAAACUGUUGUCCAGUGC
rfam:Echinostoma caproni strain Egypt genome assembly, scaffold: ECPE_scaffold0018227